rnacentral:tRNA from 1 species
AGCGACUUAGGUUAAAUCCAGACCAAGGGCCUUCAAAGCCCUAAGCGAGAGUGCAACCCUCCCAGUCGCUA